UACGAAGGGGGCUAGCGUUGCUCGGAAUCACUGGGCGUAAAGGGCGCGUAGGCGGAUCUUUAAGUCGGGGGUGAAAGUCCAGGGCUCAACCCUGGAAUUGCCUUCGAUACUGAAGAUCUCGAGACCGGAAGAGGUAAGUGGAACUGCGAGUGUAGAGGUGAAAUUCGUAGAUAUUCGCAAGAACACCAGUGGCGAAGGCGGCUUACUGGUCCGGUUCUGACGCUGAGGCGCGAAAGCGUGGGGAGCAAACAGG
rnacentral:rRNA from 1 species